rnacentral:rRNA from 1 species
CGUGAAACCGUCCAGGGGUAAACCUGCGAAACUCGAAUGAACGAACGGGGAGAUUCAUCGUCAUUCCUCGGCGCACGGGCGUUGGCUCGAUGCUCGCCGGCCUCGGCCGGCGGGCACGGGCCGCGUACGUCGCGCUCCGGGGACGGCGUGCACUUCUCUCUCAGUAAUACAUCGCGACCCGUUCGGUGUCGGUGUAAGUGCCCUCCGGGAGUCUUCGCUUCCUCGCGUUGUGUAGACCGCGAGGUGCACCGACCGGCCGCCGGACGGUAACACGAACGAAACGCGCACGCGCUCGCGCGCGUCCGGCCCGACGCAAGGCAACGUCGUAAUUCUCCCCCCUCCUGCCCGAGUGCGGACGGGGGUGCGGCGCGCCUGUCGUCGCAGCCGUGCUGUCUCGGACUGUGCGCGUGUCAGUCGGCGA